UUCGUCUGAAGGGGAGAGCGGCGGACGGGUGAGUAACACGUGGGUGACCUGCCCUGAAGAUGGGGACAACCACUGGAAACGGUGGCUAAUACCCAAUGUGCUCGGUAAUUCGUUUUGCCGAGUAAAGCUCCGGCGCUUCAGGAUGGGCCUGCGGCCUAUCAGCUAGUUGGUAGGGUAACGGCCUACCAAGGCAAGGACGGGUAGGGGACGUGAGAGCGUGGCCCCCCACACUGGCACUGAGAUACGGGCCAGACUCCUACGGGAGGCAGCAGUCGGGGAUAUUGCGCAAUGGACGAAAGUCAGACGCAGCGACGCCGCGUGGGCGAAGAAGGCCUUCGGGUUGUAAAGCCCUUUUCUGGGGGAAGAGAUAAGGACGGUACCCCAGGAAUAAGUGUCGGCUAACUACGUGCCAGCAGCCGCGGUAAAACGUAGGACACAAGCGUUAUCCGGAUUUACUGGGCGUAAAGAGCGUUGAGGCGGUUCCGUAAGUUGGACGUGAAAGCCCUCGGCUCAACUGAGGGAUGUCGCUCAAUACUGCGGGACUUGAGGGCAGCAGAGGGAGGUGGAAUUCCUAGUGUAGCGGUGAAAUGCGUAGAUAUUAGGAGGAACACCAGUGGCGAAGGCGACCUCCUGGGCUGCUCCUGACGCUGAAGGCGAAGGCUAGGGUAGCAAACGGGAUUAGAAACCCCGGUAGUCCUAGCAGUAAACGAUGGAUGCUGGGUGUGGGAGGUAUAGAUUCCUCCUGUGCCGAAGCUAACGCGUUAAGCAUCCCGCC
rnacentral:rRNA from 1 species